AUGUGUCCGUUCUUUCCCCUUAGAGGCUGUCAUCACCCCUGGAGCAGCGCGUCCCUGUUGCCCGCAUCCUCUCCAGCAUUUGGCGGCGUCUGUGCUCUGGACUGCAGCCCUUCUAGAAGGUCUCCGGUUUCUACCUCGGGACUCAGAGAACUCUCCGGAACAUGUUCCCGACCCUCGACCCUCGACCCUCAACCCUGGGGGAUUGCUCCAGACGACCCUCUGCUGGACCUGACGCCCGCCGCCCGCCGGCUGUCCUUACAAGCACGGUCAAGAAUACGCCGUCCUUUCACGUGGCCUUUAGGUAAGUUUCCCUCACGUUAUUUUUUAACGUUGUCAUUAAUUUAUUUUUAAAAUGUAUUACAGUUCGUUUACAAUGUUCUGUCAGUGUCUUCGGUCCAGCAUCCUUCACGUUAUUAACUCCAGUCCCCUAAGACGUGCACGUUACCCUCAGUGCCGUCUAAACAUUUCCACGAGGUCAUCCCAGCCCUGCCAACAAGAGUGACCCAACCCGAAAACACCAGCAGUGGGGUUCUUCUGACCUCAGUGGUUUAUCUGUUCACUUCAACAACACUUGGCUUUCACUUGACUCAAAGCACUUGUCGUCAGCAAGGGACACCCGAUCUGCCUCUUCCCACGGAGCUCCACGAGCCUGCUGUGCCCCACACGGUCUGCACCACCGGCUGGCUCCAUUGUGCGGACGCCAGGGGCACAGCUGCCCUACACACACACACACACACACACACACAGAGCCUGGGUGUGCAGGACACUGGUUAGGGAUUUGCAAACAAUUAAAGUUAUCUCCACUCUCACUGCUCACAUCUGCAUGGAAGAAAAUUACACAAAACCCUCCAAAAUGAGGUUCACACAAGCCGAUGUCAUAUCUCCCAGGAGGGGCGGCUAAGAUAAGCCUUCACACCCACCAACCCCAGCCCCAUUCUCAGGGACGCUGCAGCUGGAACGUUUGUCCGAGCUUCAUCUUUGACGCUUAGCAGAGUCUAAAAGCCCACACGUUAGCCAGAGUUGCGGCAGGCAGUCAUGGCUUUGCUGUCCCCUUGCUGAGACCGAGGACACGGUCCUACCAGCAUGGUGCCACCCCUGCUCACUGCGAGGGGUGUCAGCGCACACCCCAGCUAAGAGGCAGUCCUGGUUCCCCAAAGCGACCUGACGGGAUUCCUCGUCUAGGCUCCUGAGUUCGAGGCUCAUUUUUGAGGAUGCAGUUUUCCUCUUUCUCAUAACUGCCUUUGUUCCCGCUGGCUGCCGUGUCCUGUGCAGGACCUUACAUGCCCAUGGGCAGCUACUGUCACAUCAAAGGGUCCGGCAGGUCUCUGGGAACAGGAGAGAUGAACCCAGU
rnacentral:lncRNA from 1 species